UGGGGAAUAUUGCACAAUGGGGGAAACCCUGAUGCGGCGACGCCGCGUGAGCGAAGAAGUAUUUCGGUAUGUAAAGCUCUAUCAGCAGGGAAGAUAAUGACGGUACCUGACUAAGAAGCCCCGGCUAACUACGUGCC
rnacentral:rRNA from 1 species